rnacentral:tRNA from 1 species
GUCCCUAUCGUAUAGUGGUUAGUACAUCACGUUGUGGCCGUGACGACCCCGGCUCGAAUCCGGGUAGGGACA